AAAUUGAAAAAAAAUGCUAAUUAAAGACUGAAAUGGAAGCUACUUCUUCAACCAUGCACCUGCUCAUGCUAGCAUGAGUAGCUUCCAGUCUUCUGCAAAGUCUUGCACAGCCAAGUCCAAGGACUCUUGAGUAAAUAUACAGCAGCAGCAAAAGAGACUUUCUUUCAUUUGGUAGCAAAAAAUGUUAAUAUGUCCAUAGUUCUGAUUUAUCAUAUUGUUGUUUUGCAUUGGCAUUAUUUUGUUAUUAUU